AUGGCUUCCGUUGCCGCCGACCCGCACGCUGCCCUCGCUGGCGCGGGGACGCCGCCCCACGGUAGCCCCGUCGCGGGGAAGAGGGCGGCCGCCACCGCGUGGAAGCGCCCGGAGAACGGGCCCGUGCUGGUGGCGCCCGCGAGCCCCAUCAUGGACGCCGACUCCUGGCCGGCGCUUCCUGGGCUGGCCUCUCCCCAGCCGCCCACACCGCCCAAGGCGUCGCCUAAGGCCGCUCCUCCCCCUUCCACUGUGGCAGCUAUCUUGCCCGUGUCCUUGGACAUCUCCGACGCUCCGGAUGCUACCCCUGAUCAGGAUNNNNNGGAGACAGUGAUUUUACCGGUGUCUUUGGACAUCUCUGGCGCUCCGGAUGCUACCACUGUUAAGGACGCCGUGACCAGUAGUCCACCAGUCCGGCGUGUGUUGAUGAUGCCUGCAGGGGAUGACGGGCCAGAGAUGCAUGCUCUUAUUCCAGAGCCAUCUCUAGGAUACUCUCCUAAUGCCCGGAGCAAUGGUACCGGCGUUCAUCAUCAGAAUGGCCGUUUUGGUUCCCAUCCUCAUGGCCGAGGUGGCAGUUAUGGUGGGGGGAGCAGAAGGGGUAAUGGUGGAGGUGGUAGUCGCCAUGGUCAUGAGCACCAUGGUGGGUUUGAUGGGCAACGGCGUGGUGGCGGCCGUAGAGAUGGACAUGGGCCAGGGCACCAGCAUCGUGUUCACCAGCCAUCGUACAUUAGGGCUCCUCCUCUGGCUGUUUUAGCGGCGGGACCUCCCGCACCACCAUUUGCUGGCCCUGCUACUCCACAGACACCACCUUAUGGAACUGCUGCUCCACAGACACCACCUUAUGGGGCGCCUAUGGGAUUCCCUGCCCUUCCUUCUGCGCCUCCUCCACCAACCCCUCCAGCCAUGCUAAUUUCUCCACUGGAACAACUUCAAAGGGACCUACUGGUGCAGAUAGACUACUACUUUAGCGAUGAAAAUUUGUGCAAGGACAUAUUCUUGAGGAGACAUAUGGAUGACCGUGGUUGGGUGCCAUUAUCCUUGAUUGCUGGCUUUAACCAGGUCCAAAGGCUCCUAUAUCGUAUUGGACAAGUCAAAAACUUGACCAAUAGUUUACAGUUUAUCUUGGAUACAGUCAUGCAGUCUACUGUGGUGGAAGUACAGGGUGACAAAAUACGGAGGCGUGCAAGAUGGGAGAUUUGGUUGCUUCCCAGACCAAAUUAUUCUGAUGGAAAUUCUUCUGGUUCACGUUCCCCCGUGACAUCCAACAUUGAUUCAUUGGCGUCUCAGUUUCAAUCUUUUGGACUUGAGGGGACAUACUAUCCUCGUGAAGCUCUCCUUACUAGAUCAGCAACUUCAGUUAGUAUAGGCUAUCAAGCACCUACCUUCAGAGGACUACACAGCAAUGGCAGUGGACCCAUUUUUGGGCAGCAGACCGAGAGAAGUUUACUCAGAAGUGAUACUUUUUGA
rnacentral:rRNA from 1 species